GUGGGGGGGACACAAUGGAGGGAAGCUCCUGGGGGGCCGACGGGGAUCACAAGAAUGUUGGCUAUUAUCAAAGUUAUUUACGUUUAUGUUUAUGUUCAAAGCUAAAGAUUUGAUGUAACACGGUUUACGCUCAUACUAGGGCGGGGACCAGGUCGGAGCGGAACAGACCAGAACCCUUCUCACAUACAAUACACUCACUAUACCAUUCCUGGCUUAGACUCCGACCAUAACUCUACAUACACACUUGCAAGAAACUCUCAGCGGAGCUCUAGGCAAACACCGAUCCGGUUAUCGGUGCGACACCUGACAACUCCUGCUGGGACGCAAGUGUCCCUCCUCUUUAGAGGAGAUCUCGGGGUGACACACACCUCUCCCACUCCCGCUUAUACACAC